rnacentral:rRNA from 1 species
AAUCCCGUGAACCAUCGAGUCUUUGAACGCAAGUUGCGCCCGAAGCCUUCGGGCCGAGGGCACGCCUGCCUGGGCGUCACGCAUCGCGUCGCCCCCCGGAGGGGUGUGCGGAGAUUGGCCUCCCGUGCGCCUCGGCGUGCGGCCGGCCU